CUUUAUAGAGGCCAAUUUAAAAUACACAUAACUAUAGAGUUCAACUUUAGGAUCCUCCAUAGGUUGUGUGCUGUCAGAAUUUGUGUCAUCAUAUCCUGAUUUGUUAAAAAGAAACUGGCAUGCCAUUUACUAAGUUUUUUACUCAGAGGCAUCCUUUUUAUUCAGUUUAUUCUUGAUCAUUUUGAAAAUAGUUCUAGUGCACUUGAUUGUUUUAAGAGUGCAUUACUGGCCAUAGAAAAAUCUACUGCUGUCUCAAUAUAAAGGACAACAAAAUGCAAAGUGGAGUUAAAUCAAGAUAGAUGUCAUGAAGGCUGCUGCAAUGAUUGCAGUCACACAAGGCAGUCUUCAGAUUCAGUGAAAGACUUGCAUGCCUUUUUCUGACAACUACCAGAGAGGAUUUCCAAUACAUAAGGAUUCCUCUUGAAAUAGAAACCUACCAUGCCCAGCUAUACAUGAGUGGCCUAAAUAUUCCUUAAGGUGGAGAGAGAAGUUUAGGCAGAGAGUGCUUCUUGUCUGCAUUGUAUAAAUGAUAGAAUCAGCAUUUUUAAGGUUGGAAGGGACCUCUAAGAUCAUUGGUCCCACAGUUAGCCUAGCCCAGCUCUGUUCACCACUAACCCUUGUGCCACAGCACACACUUUUGAAUACUUCCAGGGACAGUAAUUCCAGCACUUCCUUAGGCAACUUAUCCCAGUGCUUUUUCACCCUUUGAAUGAAGAAGUUUUGCCUUAUAUCCAAUCUAAACCUCCCCUGGUGAAACUUGAGGCCAUUUCCUCUUGUCCUAUCGUUUGUUACCUGGGAAACCGACCCACACCUUGCAACAAUCUCCUGUCAGGGAGCUGUAGAGAGGAUAAGCUCCCCCUGAGUCUCCUUUUCUCCAGGCUUAGCCCCUCCAGCUCCCCCAGCUGUUUGUCAGAACACUUGUGCUCCAGACCCUUCCCCAGCUCCACUGCUCUUCUUUGGGCAUGAUGAUCCUUGGACUGCAGCUCCUCCAAGCAGGCUCAGGCUCUGGGAAUUUACACUACUUAAAAUUCAGUGCAGUAAAAUUAGUGUAAGUUUAGUACAUUACUGAGCAACUUCCCAAUUCCUUUUGUAAUGAAUGGUGGGGAAAAUAAAUACUUGUGAUAUGUACCAUGUGAUUUACCUCUAAUGUGCUGAGCAUUGGGUCCUCCAAACCAAUCAAGGAGCAAAUCUAAAAAGAAGUUUGAGAGGCACUCAUCUCGGCUUAUUGGUCCUGCUACUCAGAGUCUGAAACCACUCUUAAACUAAGAUGAUAUAUUUGGAGACUCUUAGAAUACUUCUGACACCAUUUUGCUUGUUGAUGUUGUGGUGAAAGCAGCCAGUCAGAAAGUGGGAUUUGAAGGUCUGGAGUCCUUCUCCACCAGAGGAGGUUUGACUCUGUGACUUCUGAACUCCAUGAAAAAGCCUUGAACGUCAGAGCGUAACAGAGUCUAAAGGGACAGUGGGGUGAGCAAAGGUGCCCUCUACACUUCACCAAGUCACAGGCUAGCCAGCCAUUCGUUGCUGCAAUGGAAAGACAAAUUCAGAGAGGGCAACUUCCACUGCAGCCUGUGCCAAAGCUCCUGUCUGAUUCCUGGAUCUCUGCUUGCUGCUGUGAGAAUUUUUUUCCUGGUUACUGUUUUUAUUCCUUCAGUCGAGGCUCUCUAAUGAGGAAUGUGUAAAGAGUUGUGGGAGCAGUGUAGGUUCUUCAGGCUCUCCCUUGCCAGCUGAAUAUGCAGAAAGCUCACACACCAUCCGUGUUGCUCAGGGGAGCUGGUUAAGGUAGGAUUGUGUGCAUGAAAUGGGCAUAGUUAAUGCCUGUGAAGUAGUUUAAAACAUCUAAGGGCAACUCAGACUCAAAACCUCCUGCUCCAGUGUGCUGCAGAAACCUCAAAGACCCUCUGGGGGAAUUGUUUUCCCCCUUGGUUCAAAGACUGCCUGUAAUUGGUCCCUUCAGUGGAGUUUUUGCAUGUGCAGAUAGCUGGCCACCUCCUGCAACACUGAACAAAGAAGUGCAAGGCAAAUUCCAGUGCUUGGAGUGUGACAUGAAGCGUUUGACAUGCUGCUAAGGAAGCCACACAUCCCUAUAAUGACUUAAAAUUCCAUGCCUGGCAACCAGGUGCAGGGGGUUAAUUAGGCUCAUAAGCUGGGAGAGCAGGGAGACCUUUGGGAGAAGCUUGUAGACAAGCAGCAAAGCAUAUGACCUCAUUUGAAUUUUCCUAUUAGAUUUCCUGCAGAGAUCUCAAAAGCAUCCUCUGAUUCCAUGCCUGAAACUCUUUAGGUUUCACAUUUGCAAACACAAGGAACCUCCAUUAGAUUCUGAAGCUGCUGCACAUGUUUUAAAAGAUCAAACUGAUGAUUAUAACAGGCAAAUAGAUCCCCCCUUCCUUUUGUUUGUUUGGACUGAUGACUCUCUUGACUCUUGGGGUAAACAAUCUGCCAUUCUUCCUUUAGAGCUCUUGUGGUGAUGCAGGUUGGAGCUGAAAUAGUGAGACUGGCACUGCUGGACAUAAGGCUGUGCUUAUGUGAGGCGUGACAGUCUCCAAAAAGGCUGCAAUAGGAGCCUGAGCUGUGUCUCUGUAAUCUGCAGCUCCUUUGGUUGCAGUGGGCUUUUGUACAAGAGUUUGGUGUUUCUCUCCUGUUCAUAAGUUAGUGUAUUGUCCCUCUCCUCUCCCACAAUGUCAUAGCUGUGGUCCCAGUUCAGCACAUUUCAGUCCUGCAGCCUUUUGGUCAGAACAGAUUUCCCCAGACUAAAAGGCAGCUAGUCUGGGCCUAUGCAAAGGGCUUUGCUGGAGAAGGAAGAGAUAAAAAUAGGAAGGGCCAUAACUUGAAAGCCAGCACCAAACCUUUCUCAGGCCUUCCUCCAGUUGGUGAAACCCACUGCUGUUCAUGGGGGACCUUCCCCUGGCCAUAACAACCACUGGGAGAGCGUGGGAGGGGGAAGGAGGGUUACCCAUCACCAUGUCCAGCUGCAGCACACGUCACUGGAGAAGUGUUAGGGGAGUCUCAUUUGAGUACCCCAAUCCCUCCUGUCCCAGAUGCAUGCUUUGCUCCUGCACAUAAAAGCAGUCCUUGCUAUCAAAGGGAGAUGGUCCCCAGUGUCAAGACAGAAGCAAAUAAUAACCUUUACAUCCAUCUAGACAGAAAUCAGGUUUGGAAUAACUCGCUGGGAGGAUUACAGGCAGUUUCACCAUUACCGUGGCACCCGUUCCCUGUGACAAUGGCAUCAGGAGAUUCACCUUCAGCAUUGUGGGCACCCUGUGAUCCCAGGCAGCACCUUGGCCAUGGACUGCAGGCAGCCCCCACGGAGCACAGACGUCACGCUCCCCUUCGGCUGCCUUUCUCCAUUAUAUGUGUGUGAGUAAAGUCAGACCUGGGGGAUUUCUUCCCAGCACUCCAGACACCAACCGCACCACAGAAUACAAAUGUGAGAGCUGGGCUGACGCAGGCGUGAGCAGUUCAGCCCUCAACCCCAGGGAACAGCAACAGGCAGGCAAGCCUUGGAGGGCAAGAGAGCUCGUUAACUCAGUGCUUUGAAUAAUAGCAGUGGUGAGGGUGCUGGUGAUGUGUGUCCCUGCAGUGUGCAGCUGUGUCUGUGUGCUUUGACAACAGGCAGGAAACAGCACUUGCUUCUUCGCUCCUCAGGCAGCUGCCCUGUAGAAUAGCACCAAGGAGGGCAUAGGAAAGAGGUUAUUUAGUUUUUUCUUCUCCUUGGAGAUUUUGGACUGAUUAAAGAACUAUUCUUGCUAGGAAAGCAACAAGGAAAGAAACCCCAGCCACAUGUGCAGGCAUAAAAGAAUGUUUGAUUCUUCCGACACGUACAAUAAGAUUUAAUAUCUUUGCUGCUCGACCCAAUAUUGUAUCACAGGCAUCACUGGUGGUGUGCUUCCCAGCAUGCCCUAGCAUUCCUUCAAGCAAACAUUCACAGUAGCAGAAAGUCCAAGAAAAGGCUUACUCCCUUGAGGAUCAAGAAGAAAGCAACAGUGAAGAAAGGACCAAUAGCAGCAUGGAGAAUACGGAAAGCAGAUAAAGAGGAAAAUGAGGAGGUGGAGAAUAACCCUUGAGGAUCAUUCCCCUGCAGACCAGUUGCCCCAAGGAGGAAAAGGAUGCAUUUAACCAGCCCCAGUGAGAGGAGAGGAGUCCUUCCUCUGUGAGGCCGUGGGGUCCCUCCCACAGGAGACAGCUCUCUGUGAACUUCUCCAGCGUGGCUCCAAAUCUCAUGAGCAGCAGACCUGCCAAAACUAUUGCAACAAGUCCUUCCCACGGGCAGAGAGUCCUCCCAAAACUUCUGCAGCAUGGGUCACUGUUCCACAGGCUGCAGUCCUCCAAGGACAGGCUGCUCCAGCCUCCACCGGGUCUUCCACAGGAUCACAGCCUCCUCCAGACAUCCACCUGCUCCAGCACGGGCACCUCCCCAGAGGCUAUGGGUGGAUCUAUGCAUCUUCUGUGGAUCCCCACGGGCUGUGGGUGGAUCUCUGCAUCCCCUGUGGAUCCCCACGGGCUGCAGGGACACAGCUGCUUCACCAUGGUCUCACCACAGCCUGCAGAGGAAUUUCAGCUCUGGUCCCUGGAGCACCUCCUGCCCUCCUUCUCCACUGACCUUGGUGUCUCCAUGUUGUUUCCCUCACAUGUUCUCAUCUCCUCCUCUUCUCUGACUAGAAGCAGAACUGCAUGACUUGGUUUUGAUUUUCUUCUUAAAUAUGUCAUCACAGAGGCAUUGCAGCCUCUCUCAUUGGCCCAGUUUUGACCAGCAGCAUGUCCAUCCUCAGAGCCAUCAGGGAUUGGCUCUGCUGGACGUGGGAGCUUUGCUGGGCCAUGGAUACCUCCAAACUCCCAGAGUUUCACUCCCAGAAGAGUGAACGGCAUUGAUUGAUGUCUCUCAGUUACUCAUUCCAGCAGAUUAAGGCUGAUUAUUCCCUGUUCUGGCUUGUGGAAGAACUUUCCUGUUCUUCCAAGCAUAGAAGAACAAGCUAAGCAAGACCUUGAAGAAAGAAGGCAGCCAGGACACUUCUAGUCCAGGGACCUGCUGCAGUCAGUUCACUACUAGUGAGCAGUUGGUGUCAUUCCCUCUGAUGAAGGCUUUUGAAAUCCUGCUUUGGGCUUGCUGCUUGCCCUUUCUGUAGGAUGAAACUCAGCAAGAUGUUUAAGCUAAAGCGGGUCAGAAUCUGGGCCACAAAACCCAUCUGGUCUGAAGGAACAUGGCUGACCAAGAAGGAAGAGGAAGAAGCAUCUGCAGCUGAAUUUUGUCUUGUCUGGCUAGAACUCUUGUGAGAAAGAAGCAAGUCUGGGACCAAGACUUUCAUGUGCCAGAGAGAGGUUCACCACAGUUCUUAUUCUCUAGAGAUGUUUUUCCACCAGUGUGAUCUAAAAUCUUCAUGGGACUAUACUCUGCUGAAGAUGGGCCACUGUGCAAAAAACCAAAUGGAUGAUAUCUGAAUCCAGAAGGAUCUUGAUUCUUUAGCCUAUAUAAUGGGGCUGUAGCUGAACAGUACUGGAUUCUUUUAUUUAUUUCAGUGCCUGUGGCUGAAUUUCAUGUACUGACCUUUCUGGGUGAAAAAUACAUGCUGUUUCUGAAACAGGCACUUCUGCUGAUUGCAAGGUGAUUCCUCAUCAGCUAAAACAAGGUAUUCUCCCCACUGCUGAAUUAUCACAGAGUGGUUUCAUCACUCCCGGAAGACCCAAGAACAUCAUUUACACCACCUUUGCUGGAAAAAUGCCUAGGAUUUGUGUUUCCACCUCCUCAGUCAGUUGUGUGACCCCAGGCUCCACUGCAGGUGUGCGUUCCUCCUGCUCUCAGCACUACUUAAUGCAGUUUGAGUUCUCCUAGUACAUUGGUCUGAGAGGUUUUUGGUGUCCCUUUGUCCACCUCUGGAUUGCACCUGAGCACCUUAGCUCUCAACAAAGAAAUAGCAACACAGCUUAGCUGCUGACAAGGGCAGGUAGCUGUCCCAGUGCCCAGCCUUCACAUGGGUCUCACGAUGUGCCUCAGGUAUUUUUAUUCCUUGGUAGCUUUUUACUGUCUGGCAGACUUAGUAAGAACAGUGACACUCUCUCCAGUAUUUGUUUUUUCUCCUCUAGUAAGUUAGAUUGCCUUGGUAAUGUUAGGAGUCCUUCUCUGCCCAUCCCAGUUUGAAUUCAGGUUGCACACUGCAUCCCACACAAAUUUCAGCAGAGCCGUGUAUUAAUACUACAGUAUCUCUCCUGAUAUAACCAGUCAUCUACUACCAUCUCUCCUGUCACUUAAAUAUGAGAAAAAAUAUGAGUUUGCAUGAGCAGGUCACCCAAGUCUUUUUAGAUUAUACAAUGAGAUGGUAGCCAGCAGAUCAUAAAGGGUUUUACUAACCUUGGCAAUGCUGAACAUAACUUAUUUGUCUGACAUAAUGCUCACCAAAAACCCUUAAAACUGAAUUUCAGACUUUUGCUAUUUAGAGCACCUGUUGUUUAUUUUUCUCUCAGACAUUUUCUCUGAAUUGUGAGGGAAUUUUCUCACUUCUGCCUCUUUCCAGCUUCUCUGCAGUGGUAACACAAGUUGUCAUUUUAUUUGUACCUACAGAGAUUUCUUGUUUGAUAAGGGCAUUGAGGUUGUCUACUACCCAACUUUAAGGUCCUCUGAUGACUUUUAGAUGUCUGGUUGUGAAGCAAUGGUAGAGCAGGACUAGGGAAAUGAUCAUUGCCCUGUACUCAGCACUGGUGAGGCUGAACCUUGAAUAUGUAUCCAAUUUUGGGCCCUUACUGCAAGAAAAACACUGAGGGGCUGGAGCAAGUCCAGAGAAGGGCUGAGAAGGGCUCUGGAGCACAGGUCUGAUGAGGAGCAGCUGAGGGAGAUGGGGGUGUUUAGCCUGGGGAAGAGGAGGCUCAGGGGAGACUUUAGUGCUCUCCACAACUCCCUGAGAGGAGGUUAUGGAAAGAUGGGGGUUGACCUCUUCUGCCAGGUAAUGAGGGACAGGACAGGAGGAAAUGGUUGUAUGUUACACCAGGGAAGAUUUAGUCUGGAUAUUUGGAAAAAAUCUCUUCACAGAAAAUGUUAUCAUGCACUGAAACAGACUGCCCAGGGAAGUGUUGGGAUCACCAUCCCUGAAGGUGUUUAAAAGACGUGUAGAUGUGUCACUUAGGGACAUGGUUAAGUGGUGGAGUUGGCAGUGCUGGGUGAACAGUUGAACUUGAUCUUAGACAUAUUUUCCAACUUAAUUAUUCUGUGAUUCUAUGAUAUAAGAGAAAUUAUUAAAAUUCUGUACCAAAUGAAGUUCUAUUACCCUAAGAAUAACCUAAGGAUCUUAUAUUCACAUCCAUAAGUGCUGGAUCCUGCUCUGGGGCCCUCAGCAAAGAAAGAACAUUGACCUGUUGGAGCAAGUCAAGAGGAAGCUACCAAAAUGGUUAGAGGGAUGGAGCAGCUCUCCUGUGAGGAAAGGCUGAGACAAUUGGGAUUGCUCAGCCUGGAGAAGAGAAGGCUUUGGGUUGAUCUAAUUGUGGCCUUUCAGUACCUGAAGGGAACUUACAGGAAAGAUGGAGAGCAACUUUUUACGAGGACAUGUAGAAACAGGACAAGGAGGAAUGGCUUUAAAGUGAAAGAGGAUAAAUUUAGAUUAGAUAUCAGAAGAACAUUCUUUGCUGUGAGAGUGGUGAGACACUGGAACAUGUUUCUCAGAGAAGCUGUGGAUGCCCCAUCCCUGGGAGUGUUCAAGGCCAGGAUGGUUGGAGCUCUGAGCAAUCUGAUCUACUGGAAGGUGUCUUUCUCUGUGGCAGAGGGGGUGGGAAUGAGAUGAUCUUUGAAGUCCCUUUCAACCCAUAUCAUUCUAUGAUUUUAUGUUAAGUGUUUCAGAUUUGGGGUGUAGCAUCCUGGGCUAAGAGAAGUAGCAAUAACCUGGUUAUUGAACUGAUACCAGUUGGUUACUGGUUCUUUCUUCUUUGGUCUGAGCCCCUCUCAUCUUUUGCUCAGUCUGCUGUUUAUAUACAACAUUGAAAACACAAUAAGAAACACUUGAGCAUUUAUCAAAUUAUUUAGAACAACCUACAGAUAAACCAGGUGAUAUUAUAUAAUUUCAUCUCAGGAAGCAAAACUCUGCAAGGUAACCUCAGUUGCAAAAAGCAAUGAGGGCCUUUAAUAUUCCUGCUUCAAACAAAUUUUUGAGUUUUUACUAAGAUGGACUUGUGAAGUCCAUGCAACUAUAUUCACAUCAAGCUGGAAAUUAUCAAGUUAUUUUUUCACUUAUUCAAGUGUUGAUAUAAAAUUUCCACUCAAUGCUUUUCCAUAGUAGAACCAUAUUUGUGCAGCUCCCACAAAAGUGAAACCAAAAAGGUAAUAAGGGAAGUUACUAGAUUAUGUCUUUUUCUUUCUUCCUUCUUUUAAUUUCAGACUAUAAUAUUUAUUCUUUAGUAAUAUUUAUUUAGGCUUUGUUGGUAAAAGGAAGCUGAAUUUUUCAAAGCUCAAUUCUCAGUACUGAAUCAAGAAGAUCCAAAUAUAAAUACAGGCUUUUAAAUUUUAUCUAGAAGGAUUAUAGUGGGAGCUAUUAAAGCAUUAGACAUUUUGAACAUGUGGCCUCUACACAGGGUAUUAAAAACAAUUGUUCCUUUCUGAAAACUUUAUUCAUACCUGCAUGUAUGAGGAGGUCUGGCUUCUCCACUCUUCAGUGGUUUCCUGUUCUCUAUCCUGUUACUGAGGCUGAGACCUGCAAACUCCUGAGAAUCGAUCUGAGAGUCUAAAACAUAUUAAAUGAUUGCAUGCCAGAAGGCUAACUGCAAAAAUGGCUUUCAAAUAGAAUUCUUGUACAAAAUCUAUGAUGCUGCUGAAAUCCUUUCUUGGAGAAAUAGCAAAGGGUUAUGUGGUACAGAUUGAAAUCUGGUGGGAGAGGAGGGGAUUAUGUGAACAACAGCAGGGAGACAGCCAUGUCAAAAGUUCAUAUGCAGUAUUUGAUACUAGUAAUUUACAAGGCAUUCCCAUUCCUUUUCUCUGUCAACAAAGCCCUUUGGAAGGUUUGCCUAGUUCACUGGUUCUGCUACACCACAAGUCAAUGAAAUAUUCUUACAUAUAAGAUGAUAUGUCAUGUAUGUGUAUCUUUACUGUGUCUGCAGUGCAGUGCAGCAGGAUACAUUGGCUGUACUCACCAGUGCCAGGUAGCAUCCCUUGACAUCAUCAUAUCCAUGGCUCUGUUAUUGCCACUGAGAUCUCUGAACAUCUUGCCUUUUUUUUUAUCAGCCCAUCCUUAUGCAUCAAGUGACAAGA